rnacentral:tRNA from 1 species
GCCCCCGUAGCGCAGUGGACAGCGCGGCUGCCUCCGACGCGGCAGGUCGCAGGUUCGACUCCUGCCGGGGGCG